UGGCCAUUGAUUUAAUUUAACCCAACGGUUCAGAUAUUUUUCCCUACACCAAAUAUACACUCAAAAAAACCCUAAUCCUAAACAGACCAUCGCACCUCACUCCCAUCUCUCCCACCUCCUUUACCCCAAACUCGACUGAACUCGCCAGAAAUGGCGAGUUAACUCAUGGCCCCCUUUCCCCUUUUAUCUUUCUUCCACGUGGCCUGACAAAUAACCGAUUUUGGUUCGAAUAUUCUCUUACCCUUUAUUAUCCGCAUUUUUAUUUGCUUUCACACGUGAAUCUCUUUUAGUGGUAGAUGAUGGACGAAGAGUAGGAUAUGAUUAAUAAAAAUUAAUCAUACCCCUCUAUUUGCACAGACUUUUACCAAAAAUGAGGAGAUUUUCAGAAUUUUAGAGUUCUUUCUCGGAUUUGGAGAUAAAAAUCGAUUCCUUGCUCCGUGACUUCCGGUGCAUGCUGCUCCGGGGAAAGAAGUUGAAUUUGCUAAAGAAGAAGAUUCCCGGCUCUCGGCUCUCUCUUUCCGAAUAUAUGAAUGUUUUUUACUACGAUUUCCGGGUGGGAAGAAAGUGAUUGCCAGCUCUUUGAACGAAAUAAGUUGUUCAAGCAUAUCCUUCUCUCUAAGAAGAGAAAUUAGUUCACUACCUGUCCUCCAGAUAUAGAAGGUUCGAGAGCCCCUAUAUAUAUUGGGGUGUUUUCUCAAAUAUUGGGUUUUGAGAGAAUUUUCAGGUUUUUUUUUUUUGNNN
rnacentral:lncRNA from 1 species